AACAUUUGUCUCUUAGUGCUCGCUGAGGAGGGACUCAGCGAGAGCCGCUGCUCAGAGGCUGCCUCUCACUGGAAGGAUGCAGACGGGGAAAGAAGAGAUUCCACUACAGUUAAUUAAGGAGCACUCUGCACGUGGCUAUAAAUGCGAAGGGGCAAAUGAAUUCAGUGUCAGUGGGAGCAACUCCUCAAGGGGAAGCAGUGAUAUUUCAAAGGUGGAAUUGAAAAAGCUGUAAAUCUAUUUCCUGACUCCGGCUUGACGGUCAUUUCUGAAUCACUGGACUGUUGCUAUCAAAGUGUGGAGCAGGGAGGCAGAGUCAACGGAGUUCCCUCCUUGUGCCAAAUUCAGAGUUAUUGGAUGGGAUCGGCAUGAGCAGCAUUAUGGAUGGAUUUAUGUCAUUCUGUUGAGAUAUUUGUACUCUCUUUGUUGCUUGGUCGCUCAGAUGUGUCCUGUCAUGUCCUGGCUGCUUUGCCUCUGCCUCUGGGUCAGUGUGACUGCCAUCCAGCUGUGUCAGGCCACUUUCUACGACACCAUCCAACAGCAUCACGGGACGAGGCCUGGCCGAACCACAAUUCACAUGAUCGAGGGAGGAACGUGCGAAGUAAUUGCCGCUCACAGAUGCUGUAAUAAGAACCGUAUCGAGGAGCGGUCGCAGACAGUCAAGUGUUCUUGUCUGCCGGGGAAGGUGGCUGGAACCACCAGAAACAGGCCCUCGUGUGUCGACGCAUCCAUAGUAAUUGGGAAGUGGUGGUGCGAGAUGGAGCCUUGCCUGGAGGGGGAGGAAUGCAAGACGCUCCCUGACAACUCGGGCUGGAUGUGCUAUGCCGGGAACAAGAUCAAAACCACGAGGAACACUCAGCCAUACACAACGUCAACAUAUUAACACUUUGCGGAAAGGAUGCACGGGAACACCUCUGGUGCAGAGGUAAAUUUGGAGCACUGUCACAGGAACAGUUAUCACCAGAGACAAUGAACCUACUGUUGCUUUAAGAAAUGUGAACACUUUUCAAAUUGGAGUGUAAAAAGAUGUAGAAUACAUAAAGCACAUCCCGCUCAAGGCUCCUGAAAAUACUGACGCUCCAAGCUGCCUGCGGGGAACUUCAUCAUAACCUUGUAGUGAAUACAUUUUCAUCAUUUCUUUUCCAACUUUGAGACGGAACGUGACUGUCUGUGCGUUCGGAUUAGUAUCUGGAGAGAAUCUGACGUCCGUCGUCAGACAUCAGUGAGACAGAUGUCUACUGUGGAGCACCAAACAGGAGGGGAAUAUAUCAAAGGACAAGACGAGAUGAGCCAAUACAGAAGUUGACAGCCCUCAGGAUUUUUGUUUCUCUUUUUAAUAUUGUCGGAGGUAAAAUGUUGUACAUAAAUUGUUUGUCCCUUCUUGUGUACAUGAACUCUAUUUAUGGUGGUGGUGAAUCUUCCCUCUUCGACCCACAAAACCCAACACAGCCAAAGUUUGCUGAGUAUGUGAAGUUAACAUGAAACAGUUGCAUCAUGAGGGAAAUGUUUUACGAAUACAGCUCGUGUGUCUUGAUACAUUCUGCCAUUUGUUUGUAUGGUAUGUGUAUGCCUUUAAUCACCUCCAACAUGGCUUUGUCAAUCAAAUUUGGUUACAUGUCGGCUACCCUGAAACUGAUUGAUUCACCAAAAAUGUGAUGCCAUUAGGUUAUUUUCAAUACUUGAAAUGCCUUAUUUGUGUUAUGUCAUUCGAUUGAUGACGUUGUACAUAUGAAGCCAUCUAUUGAUAUGUGCUGAAAUAACAUUAAAGUCAUUGUUCCUGUUA